rnacentral:lncRNA from 1 species
GCAUAUGGAGGUUCCCAAGCUAGGGGUCUAGUUGGAGCUGCUGCUGCCGGCCUACACCAGAGCCACAGCAACGCCAGACCGAGCCGCAUCUGCAACCUACACCACAGCUCACGGCAACACCAGAUCCUUAACCCACUGAGCGAGGCCAGGGAUCGACCCCGCAACCUUAUGGUUCCUAGUCAGAUUCGUUUCCACUGCACCAUGAUGGGAACUAAUUUCUAUUCUUUAUGUCCUAUAUAUAUAUGUAUAUAUAAAUACACACAAAUGCUUUUUUUCAUUCAUUUCUCAGUAGAGAGGGUCUAGAAUGUAGAGACUUUCCCCUGAGCAUCAGGGUAUUAAUAUUGCUGCAUCUAGGAGAAGAGAAAAAAGCAAAGGUGUUAGCUUCAGCGAUUUUCCUUUUGUCCUCUGUCCUCCAUGAUAAGCCUGAAUCCUGAACUGUCCAUGGUUCUGCCUGGCUGAUGAGCAUCCUUGCCAGCUGAAUCUACUCCCUCGGUUAUAACUGGACUGCUGGGUUGGGGAGCUAUCAUCCAGCCGCUCUCUGGCUUGCUUAAAUUUACUUAUGUGCUUCAGGUCUCAUUUAUUGUUUAUCAACACCCUCCCCCUUUUUGGUUACUCUUUAAUUUUAAUGACAUCGUUGGAAGAAGAGGAAAUAGAUGUGUAUGGUUCAACUAAAUGUUGACAUAGAUAAGGUUCAUUCAAGGAGCUAAAUGAAGUUUUUAGGGUUUUUUAAUAAUUUUUGAAGUUUUAUUUAAAUAAGUUGAUCAUUUCUACUGUACAACAAAGUGAUGCAGUUAUCCACAGAUACACAUCCAUUCUCUUUGAGAUUCUUUUCCCACACAGGUUAUCACAGACUAUUGGGUAGGAUUCCCUGUGCUGUACAGUAGGUCCCCAUUGGCCAAUCAUGCCACACCCUCAGUGAGCACAGGCCAGUCCCAGAGCCCCAGUCCAUCCCUCCCCCUACCACUGUGUCCUUUGGUAACCAUACAUUUUUCAAAGUCUGUGAGUCUGUUUCUGUUCUGCAAAUAAGUUUAUUUGUAUCCUUUUCAUUUUUUUUGAUUCCACAUCUCAGUGAUAUAUAAUGUUUGUCUUUCACUAACUUCACUUAGUAUGAUAAUUUCUAAGUCCGUCCAUGUUGCUGAAAAUGGCAUUAUUUCAUUCUUCUGAUGGCUGAGUAAUAUUCCAUUACAUAUAUGUACCACAUCUUCUUUAUCCAUUCCUCUGUAGAUGAACAUUUAGGUUGCUUCCAUGUCUUGGCUACUGUAAAAUAGUGGUGCAGUGAACAUAGGAUGCAUGUAUCUUUUCAAAUUAUGGUUUUCCCCGGAUAAGUGCCCAGGAGUGGGAUUGCUGGAUUUUAUAGAAGUUCUAUCUUUAGUUUUAGGAGGAACUUCCAUACUCUUUUCCACAGGGGUUGCACAAACUUACAUUCCCUCCAACAGUGUAAGAGGGUUCCCUUCUCUCCACAGAAAUAUAGAUCAAUGGAAAAGGAUAGAAAGCCCAGAAAUAACCCCAUGCACCUAUGGUCAACUAAUCUAUGACAAGGGGGGCAAGAAUGUACAACAGAGAAAAGACAAUCUCUUCAAUUAGUGGUGCUGGGAGAAGUGGACACCUACAUGCAAAAAAUGAAAUUAGAACACUCUCUGACACCAUUCACAAAAAUAUACUCAAAAUGGAUUAAAGACCUAAAUGUAAGACUGGACACUAUAAAUGAAGUUUUAACUGGGCAGGGCUAAGCUCAAACUAAGAAGACCUAAUGCAAGGUAAUGUGAUGAUCCGUCAAGAGAUGAUGAAAAUCUGAGCCAAGGUAUGGGCUUUGGAUGGAUGAAAAGGGAUAUGUUUUUGUUUUGCUUUUGAGGUUGAAUUUAGAAGAUAUUGUGACAUCUAAUUUUCAUAACUGGAUAGAUGAUAGCUCUUGAAAACAGGGAAGGCAGAAGGAAGAACGUAUUGAAGGAGAAGGUGAAGAAUUCAGUUUGGCCAUGUUAAGUCACACUGGGCCUCAUAGAAAGUUAAUGUUUUCCUGUGAAAGCUGAGCAUGUCAUAAAGAAAAAAAAGAUGACUCAGGCAAUGUUAUUGGAGAAAUGUUCAUAAUAGUAAUUUAUAAACCUUUUUGACUAUGACCCUGUACAAACACACACGCACACACACACACACAAAUACACAAGGUUUGAAAAAGCAUACCUUUAAGUUUGAUAUACUAUCAUCUUUUCUGUUAUUCAAUUUAAUGUAAAUAAUAUUCUAGUCAUAACCUACUAAAUUGAUUUAAUGACUCACCAGUAUAUCAUGAAAAAUAUUGGCCUACAAGGUAUGGCUGACUGCAGAUCUUCAGAUGAGAAUGCAAAUCAUAAAUAUGGCACCACAGCCAUCCAUCAAGAUUUUGCUCCAGGGAUUAAACUCUAUGUGUUUAGAAGAAAGCCUCAGUGUACAGUGAUACUAAUUGGAGAAAGAAGUUAUAUAUAAAGAGGCUGAGAUGUAACACUGUGAAUAAGAAAACAAAAAACUUCAAGGAAAGGACAAGGAAUGAAUGAGUAGCCAAAUUAUUUUCUUAGUAAGGAUCAUAGGAAACCUAUCAGAUUUGGACAACGUUGAAAUGACUCCUCAAGCAAACACACCAUGGCAAAAAGUGGAACUUGACCUUGGAAUCAAGAACAGGUGUCUGUGAAGUCUAUGCAGGCCUCGCCACUUGAAAUCAGGCUCCUGUACAGCUUCUUCUCUAUGGAGCUAAUGCUUUAAACAUUGCUGUGAAGGAUGCCCAUGCAUUUGGUCCUUUUCUGUGCAGUUAACUGUGGGUCCAUGAACAGCCUUGACAGUUUCUGGGCAAAUAUCUCUGUGAAGCAGGGCCUCUGAUGCACUCUCAACUUGAUUUGUUUUAUUUAGCACUCAUUUACUGAACACCUGUUAGAUGCAAGAUCACAGAAGAAUAUGGGGUAAAAAAAGAUAAAGCCUGCCCCCCAGACCCUCACAAUCCUGCUGGGAAGACAGAAACAGAUAACUCUGGAAACAGGCUGGCUAUGACAAAUGUCCUACUAGGCAUACGAAAGGCAGUAUGAGGUCAGAGAAAAGAAAAAUCAUUUCAACUCAGGAAGCAUAGCCUCCUUCUCAUCCUUCAUGUCUUUGCCCAGACAUCACCACCUCAGAGAAGCAUUCCCUGACCACUCUAGCUACAGCUUUGUGUGGUAACUCUCUGUUCAUUAGCCUGUUUGAUAUUCUUCACGGCAGUUCAUCUUAAGAAUUGUCUUUAUCUUGAUUUUUGUAACCACAAGUUAUUUGGAAAGAUGUGUCCAAGGCAUCAAUAUACAGUAGACAGAACAUUCCAAGCGAGGUUCCAAAGUUAAGUGAAAAAUAGCAAAGUGGAUGGGUAAAGGCCAGCUACACUGCCUUGUGCUCCUUACCAACAUUAAGGACGUGACAUUGUCAGGUCAUAACAAGGUUGGAGCAGGAUUUGUGCAAAGGCAUGGACCCUAGUGUGUAUUAGGCUGGUUGUGUUGUAGGGAUCUACUGCAGCAUAACAAGCCACCCCAAAACUUAGUGGCUAAAAACAACAUAUUAUUACCAUAUUCUGUGAUGAUGUAGGCCAGUAACUUAGACAAGGCACACUGGAGAAGUCUCAUAUCGGCUAAGCAGUGAAGUCUGAGGUCUCAGCUGGAAUAACAGCUGAGGGCCAACCAGGAAACAGUAUCUGUCUGUCAGUCUGUCUGUCUGUUUCUCCCUCCCUCAUCCCCAUCCCUCCAUGGGAUGGACUAGCAUGGGCUUCCUCUCUUUAUUUUCUUUCAUAAGAGAACAGGGAACAAAUACAAAAACUUGGUAUUUUUCCAUAUGGUUUCAUAGUUGACAAAGAGCCUUUGCCAGCAUAAUCUCCAGUGGUCAACACAACAGCAAGAGAUGAUUUAUCUAAUUCACAACUGAGGAUAUGGAGGUUCAGUGGGUGAAAGCAACUACAUCAAGGCAGGUGCUGGAACCGAGACUUGAACUAGCUCUUGUGUGUCCACUACCAGUGGUCCCCCUGCACCUAAGUAUUCCCUGUAUGGCUCCUUCUCAUCAUAUUCACUGAAGCCACACAGAGUCACACCCACUGAGUGUGCAGAAAGCAGCAGCACAUGGCUGGUUCAAGGCAGUGGAGACUCCCCAUUCUCUGGGGAGAUGCUGGCAAAUGUUGACCUUGAGAAAAUCAUGGCUCCAGCCAGAGGAAAAGGUAUCAGCAUUCAUAGGGGGAAUCCGAAUGAGGAGCGAGGUAACUGCUGGGUUUAAUACUGUGCACACAUUUCUCAUGAAUAUGCAAAUGUGGCUGGUACCAGAAGCAGGAGGCGAAUAACAUUUACUAAACAGCAGUGUUAAGCCACUCUGAAAGGGGUGUGUCAGGAGCAUGGUAAUGAAAUUAAUCCUCUUCACCUGUGAAUUACCAGGGGCUUUGGGUUCCAUCCAAAAAUGUCUGACUUGCAUUUGCUUUGCUUAGAGCCUCUUGUGUAAACUUGAUCUUAAUGAAGAAUGAAGCUUCAGAAACCGAUACAAAAUAGGAAGUGGCAAAAGACAGUAUUGUAAAUUUGUACUUUUAAAGGACAACAGAAUAAGGGGACUUCAGUUGUACCUGUUCAUCUAGGAUGACUAUUCUGGGGCAUCUUAACAGCCAGUGUGGACAGCUCUCAAUUGAUUUAUUAAACAAGAAGACUGAUAAUUGCAAAGACAGCCAGAGUGAUUAGAUGAAGCCUCACAUUGUCUGGCAGAAAGCUCUAUAGAGAAGAUAUUGGGGUUGACUAUUCAGUCUCUCCUGCAGCAGAUAAACCUAAAGUCUGUCUC